CGCCAGACUCCUACGGGAGGCAGCAGUGAGGAAUAUUGGUCAAUGGGCGCGAGCCUGAACCAGCCAAGUCGCGUGAGGGAGGACGGCCCUACGGGUUGUAAACCUCUUUUGCCGGGGAGCAACGGGCGUCACGUGUGGCGCCACUGAGAGUACCCGGAGAAAAAGCAUCGGCUAACUCCGUGCCAGCAGCCGCGGUAAUACGGAGGAUGCGAGCGUUAUCCGGAUUUAUUGGGUUUAAAGGGUGCGUAGGCGGAUCGUUAAGUCAGGGGUAAAAUGGGGGGGCUCCCCCCCUCCCCGCCAUUGAAACUGGCGUUCUUGAGUGGAAGAGAAGUAAGCGGAAUGCGUGGUGUAGCGGUGAAAUGCAUAGAUAUCACGCAGAACCCCGAUUGCGAAGGCAGCAUGCCGGCUUCCGACUGACGCUGAAGCACGAAAGCGUGGGGAUCGAACAGGAUUAGAUACCCGUGUAUG
rnacentral:rRNA from 1 species